GCAAGUCGUGCGAGAAAGAUCUUCGGAUAUGAGUAGAGCGGCGGACGGGUGAGUAACGCGUAGGAAUCUACCUAGUAGAAGGGGAUAGCCCGGGGAAACUCGGAUUAAUACCGUAUACCUCCUUCGGGAGAAAGAAGGCCUCUCAUUGAAGCUUUCGCUACUAGAUGAGCCUGCGUAAGAUUAGCUUGUUGGUGAGGUAAAGGCUCACCAAGGCGACGAUCUUUAGCGGGUCUGAGAGGACGAUCCGCCACAUUGGGACUGAGACACGGCCCAGACUCCUACGGGAGGCAGCAGUGGGGAAUAUUGGACAAUGGGCGCAAGCCUGAUCCAGCCAUACCGCGUGUGUGAAGAAGGCCCUAGGGUUGUAAAGCACUUUAAGUUGGGAAGAAAAGUUAUUGGUUAAUACCCAAUAGCCGUGACAUUACCAUCAGAAUAAGGACCGGCUAAUUCCGUGCCAGCAGCCGCGGUAAUACGGAAGGUCCAAGCGUUAAUCGGAAUUACUGGGCGUAAAGCGCGCGUAGGUGGUUUAUUAAGUUGGAUGUGAAAUCCCCGGGCUCAACCUGGGAACUGCAUCCAAAACUGAUUCACUAGAGUACGAUAGAGGGAGGUAGAAUUCACAGUGUAGCGGUGGAAUGCGUAGAUAUUGUGAAGAAUACCAAUGGCGAAGGCAGCCUCCUGGAUCUGUACUGACACUGAGGUGCGAAAGCGU
rnacentral:rRNA from 1 species